CCAGACAGUUUAACGAGUAGGUGCGUACCCGUCCGCCUUUAAAUAAGUCACAUGGUCUAGCCGUUUCUGGGAAGGCCUUGCUUCAGCACCCCGGUUUGCUGCAUGCUCCUCUGUCCACACGUCGCGAGCGAGUUUGUUUUGACUGCCACGUCACGGAAAUCUAGGCCCGUCCCCGCGGCAGAUCUCGAGAGAGUCAUUCUUCCGGCUCGUCUCAGGGCUGCUGUGGUAAGGGUCUCAGUAUUUACCAAAAAAAAAAAAAGAACGAACAACAGUUUGCAAACCGUGUGUCCGCGAGGGAAAAAAACCCCCGUCACAGGCGGUGUGCGGGGUUUCGGGUCCUCCAGCAUCCCGUAAGACCCCGGUGAACCGCCCGCCCCCCUCGUCCUCCCGCCCCUCAGAGUCGCUCCCAUCCAUCAGGGCUAUUUCCAGAUGGGAGCGUCGGAAAAUAAAUAUUUAACAGCGGCUGGGGCUCGGUGCCACCCUGUUGCCGCUGCGUGCGCGGCUGCCGCCUACAUGCUGAGGUGCGGGAAACGGGCACUGUGCCAGUCCUAGUGAGUCUCGGGUCCCCGAAGCCUCUCUUUCUCGGGCUCUGUCUCUCGUCUCUGCUUCACGGCGUCACGGCUGAGGAUGAAUCAGCCCUGAAAAUUGGCACGGUGAUUUACGAGCGCUGUCAGGGAGCCUGCAUGAUUCAGAGCGAGGAGUGGGCUCUGUCCAGAUAGUCGCUCCCUUUCAAGCUCAUUCAUAAAAAGGAAGGGAAUUUAGCAGUGCCAUCCUGAUUCUCAGGCAGUCUGUGCGUGCGUGUGCACGUGAGUCUUGGCGUGUAACUGUGGGUGUGCGUGUCUGUUUGUGCAUGUGCACAUCCCUGUGCACUGUGUGUAUUUGUAUGUGUGCGCAUGAAGUUGUGUAUGCAUGCAUUUCUGCAUGGGGUUGUGUUUGCAUGUGUUUGUGCAUGAGUUUGAGCUUGCAUGUGUUGUGCAUGAGUUUGAGCUUGCAUGUGUUUCUGCGUGAGCUUGUGCUUGCAUGUGUUUGUGCAUGGGAUUGUGCUUGCAUGUGUUUCUGGGUGAGCUCGUGCUUGCAUGUGUUUGU